UACAUUGUCGGAAACGUAUGCGUUCCAUUUGCUCUGUCACCACCAGAGAUCAUAGAAUGGUAGAAUCGUUAAGGUUGCAAAAGACCUCUAAGAUCAUUGAGUUCAACCACCAACCCAUCCCAACCAUGCCCACUAAACCCUGUCCCUAAGUGCCUCCUCUACCCUUUUCCUGAUCGCCUCCAGAGACAGUGAGUGACUCCACCACCCCCCAGGCAGCCUGUUCCAAUGUGUUCCCGCUCUUUCUAGGAAGAAAUUUUUCCUAACAUCCAACUUGAACGUCCACUGGCACAACUUAAGGCCAUUACCUCUUGCCCUAAUGCUCAGUAAUAUUUGAGAACUGUUUGGAGCAAGGUGCCACCUCUGUAAAGCAACAUGCACACAGAAGGACUCUACUUUAACUAUAGCCUCAAUAUGCUGGUCCCACGGUUGGUAACAUUUAAUUGACUUUACAGAGAAAGGAACUGAGGCAGAAAGAAGUUAUACAGCUUGCUCGGACCCACACUGUAAAUCCAUGGUCAAAUCAGAGUGAGCAACCCCUGCAUUUUGUCAUCUGGACACAUUCCUGUGGCCUUGAUGAGAUGGGGCUUCACUGCUAUUGCCCUAAACUGAACAGCAAUGUUUCUUGGAUUCCUGCAGUAAGUAUCCUGAUCCGGGGAGCAGCCACACAAGACCUAAGUUUUAUUUUUAGAUACUCAGAACCUAGAAACUCCAGCAAAAUGUGUGAAGAGGGAGAAGUGGGUAAUCCAGCCACCAAGUUAAUGGAUGUGGUAGGAAGAGGAGCCAACUGGCCACAGUGUGUUGUCAAGCAACGCUGCGUAGCAAAUAGCUUAGUGCUGAGUCCUGGGGUGUUAAUUGCCAGUGGAUAAUUCAUCACUUCAUAUACGUGCCCUUCUCCACAUGGGAAUUAACUCCUCGGUGUUGUACCUCUGAUAAAAGCAGAGCAGCAGGGAAGAGUGACUGAAAGCCCUGUUGCCAAGGAGAUCUACCUGCGUGGGUCGGAGUUGAGGUGGCAGUAAUUGCUCCUCCGUUCCUUAGCUGGUGGGAGCUGGGGGACCCGAGACUGCCUCCCUGAGAAUGGAGAGAUGGGGUCUGCAGAAAGGCAGAGCAAAGCAAGGGCAACCACCAGUCCUUUGGUUUAGACACAAGGCCCAGAGAUGCGCUGGAGCUCCAGAGCCAGAAAAGCACAGUGGGUUCUGCCACAGUGGAUGUGUCCAUAGAUGAGAGGCAUGCAAGAGCUGAACAGCACACAGCUGGUGAGAGCAGGGUUCAGACUCCAAAGUCAGGGGAUAAGGGACGUGCCCUGAGUCAUUCCCUUGACCGUUAGCAAAGAGGAAGCCAAAACCUGAGGCUGAUGCCCAUUCUCUCCCAUGGGUGGACACAGUGGGAUCUGUGGGUCCUGCCAAGAAGUGGGAGAUGGUCCCUGACCAAGCGGCUUGCCUUGUUUGGGGCACAGCUGCGCUUAGCUGGACUGUAAAGCCAUUGUGCUGCCCUGUUCUGCUAUAGGGGGCUCAGCUGGGACUAACAGCUAAGAGCCCAUCUGUGUUCUCUUAAUGAAUCCUGUUGAGGUGGGUCUAUUCAAUUUGUGCUCCAUUAAUUAAGAACAUCUGCAGGCUCAGGGGAGUCAGCAUGUCCUCCAGGUUUGCAUUAAACAGCCGGUAGGAAGGCCUAUGCUUUAAUUUACCUCCAUCCUACUCAGCUUCUGUUCAAGUGAGGUUCUGCAGCUAAUGAGGUCUGAGACUUUCAAGCCCCAGGGAGAGGAAAUGACUAGGACUGUGCUUUUGCACAUGGGCAUCCCCAGCCUGUGUGGGAAGGAGAGCACAAACAACCUGGAAUGAGCAGGGGCCCAGCUGGGCACAAGGGGAAAAAGGCCAGAGGAAGGACUGUGCUGGGAUAAUGUGGCUGAAAGCACGAUCCCAGCCCUGAUGACCUCAGAGAUAAGAUUUGAACAAGCCCAGCAAGAACCAAGGUGGAGAGAUUUGCCACGAGCAACACAGAAUGACAUCUGACAGCCUCAAGGAUGGCUACAGCACAGGAAUGGUCAGACCACAGAACUGGGCUGGAUAAUCUGAAGCUGGAAAUCUCUCUCGCUGUCCCCUUUGGGUUCAUGGAGCAACAUCAGCAGCCACAGAAGUAUUCUCUGGUCUCACUCAUGUUGGCAGUUGUGCUGAGAUGACUUCAGAAACACAGAAUUAACGUGACCAUUUUAGGCAUAUACUGUUCAGUACUAAUGGCCAAUGGCUUCGUUCUUACCUUGUGAUAAACACAGGGAAAAGAAGUUUUCUUUAACUCUUCCUUUAUAGACUGUGUAAACAGCUACCUCUUAUACAACAGCUUGCCAAGUUACGCUAACCAAAUCAUGUGUCUUCCAGAUAGAUGAACAAACAUUUCCCAUUUCAAUGAAAAGGAAGUGAAAAUCAAAAUCUUGCUAGCUGCUCUGAAAGCCUAAGCAUUCCUAUUGAAACGUGAUCCCACAGCUAGUGAGGAUGAAGUAGAAAACAUCAUUGUGUGUGCUUCACAAUUCCCCUUUAUAAGGAAAAAUGAACAGUUUCUUAUGCCUUGAGACACGGAAGAAAAGCACUUAGCAGUUCUUUGAAGCCUUCCACAUAUUACUGGUCCGCAACUCAACCCCAGCAAUGCCAGUGGAGUCCCAGAAGGGACAGAACCAGCCAUCCCUGCUGCUGGAAUAGCUUCUGCCUCGCUGGCAUCAACCCUCAAGCCAAGGAGGCUGCCCACUGCCACUGAGCAACUCUGCAGACCAAGCAAUGCACUGCUGCUUCCUCAGGAGGCAAACAGAGAUGGCAUUCUCCCACUGUAACAGCAGAGGUCUUGGGAAUCACAGGAAAUACUCAGCUUAGACCUUCAGAACAAGGCUGAAUCCUGCAUGACUAAUGUAUCCGGGGAAGAGCUGAGAGCUGCUGGGAACCUCUGAAGGCAGUGGGAUAUGCGAUGCCUUGCAGAACAGGCACUGAACUGCUUGCUGUCCUGUCUCCCUGCCCUAUUUCUAGCAUGAUUCAGAGGCUGGAAAUACAGUCUGACUUUGCUUUGGAAGCUCUCAAUUGAUCAAACCUGGUAGUUACUUUGGUGCUGAAGCUGUGCAUUACUUUGUUAUUCCCAGGAAAUAUCUUUGCUCUGGGUAUAACCCUGUGUUUCCAGGGACAUUCAAAGCAAUACAUCGUCCCUCCUUUAAGCCCUGAGCAGGAAUAUACAGUAAUCUCAGUUUGUACUGGUGAGGUUAAUUAAUGAACUGGAGAUUUGUGCUGCCCUGCCCUAAACAAAGAACCCAAAUGAGAUGCUUAGCAUACUAGUUAAUGGUUUUUUUAAGUAAGAAAGAAAGUUCAGCAAUGGCCAAGCAGGCUAAUGUAAUAGCAAGCUCAAACAUUAAUCCUAGCCACACGCAAGAGCUCUUUUAGGUGUUUGGGUGGCAAUGACCUGCCCUUUGAACAAACAACGUGGUCACAAGGUCAUUCCCAGGGAUGCUGAGCACGGGGUGGGUAUGGUUGAAAGCUGGCUUCGUCACUUGCUACCUGGGAAAGUCCUUCCUGAGGAGGGAUAUUGUACAGACAACAGCAAGGCCUCUACCUGGAAUCUUAAAAAAAAAAAACAAAAACAAAAACCCAAAAAAACAGUGCAGAGGAGCUUGUAUGUUGUGAACGGGACUGAUGCUCCAAAGUGUGUGACUGGAUUUACAGGCCAUUAGAUACUAAAAGUCACAGUAGGAAAGCUGGCACGUCGGCAAAGCCAUUAAACCCUGCAGUUUAUUGAGCAGAUGGCUGAGAAGCCCGAGGGGCUGAUGCAGGAAAUACCUAUUUAGCAGAGCUGUGAGAGCUAGGCAUAAACCAGAGUGGGAGACCACUGGCUUUUCUAGGAAAUAUCUUUUCCUCCUCCCUCCGCGUGUUCCUUUUAGCUAAGAUGGGUUGCCUGAAGGCGCGUUCUGCUUAACAUGCCAACACAUUUUUUGCUCGUUUACUAUUUUAAGACUAUCGGUGAUUUCCUAGAUUACUUGUCUCACGUUGGGAAAUCCUGGCCGUCAGUGGGCUAGCUCCCAAAGCGAAGGAUGUCAGAUGAGGAAAGAGCCUAUGCAGAGCCAACGGGAACAAAGAGAGGGGCCCGCAUGGAAAGCAGUGGCUGGCAGAGCCCGUCCCUGCUCCCUCUCUCCCUGCCUGAGAUUUGAGACUCUGGCGCUAGCUCUUUAGUUGCAGGCACACACAGCCGCAUUGCUUCCCUCCUAGCGGUUCGGUGGGAGACUGUAAACUGAGAAGUGCCCCUCUGAUGUCAGAGGCAUGCCCUAGAUUGCAAAGGGAGUGUGAAAAAUGCCCAUCGGAGGAGCUGUCAGGAAAAAGAAGGUAUGGGGAGUUCCUACAGAGCUCUGUGUUUCCAGCAGAAAAAUCUCAGAGGUCUCUUCAAUGGCCGGGCUGAAGAACACCGAUGCAGAGUUUAAGGCAGCAAGAUGAUUUAGCUGCCAGUGUUCUGCUCGAAUAUAAAUCCCCACCCCGGACUUGAACUCUGAGCGGUAGGUUAGGAAAGGGCUCCGGGGGGCUCAGGCUGUCUGCGAGAGCCUUUCAUUCUGCAAAUGUAAUUGCUUCCAAUCCAAGUCGUGUCCCCCCAGCUACACGGCCACGAGAAACCUCGGAGGAAACUCUCAAAUAUUUCACCGAUAAAUUCCCUUGGUAAUGAAGGUGGUUAGAUUUCUAUGUGCCCUCUAUUCGAAGGGGGAAAAAAGCGUUUCUUUCUUUUGUAUCAGAAGGUGGUUUGGUUCUUGUGCAAUAUGAUUUUGUUUGAAGGGGAUGUUCAUGCUACUGGCUAUCUAUCUGGAAUGAAGGAAAUGAGAGACCUCGGUCUCUUUCUCCUGAAAAUUCAUUCUGAAAGGUACAUUAUUUCCAAAAUGAUUCAGUUCCUUCAAGGCAACAUAUAAUGACUUUGUAAUGGUGCAGUGAUUGUGGCCUAUCUCCUCAUGGAAAGAAAUGGUAGCUAGGUCAGGGAGAGACAAAAAUUAAAAGGCAUUCAAGGCAUGAAAUUGGAAAAAUACUUUCAAGCUGCUUCAGAUGCAGUAAAUGGCUCUCUGCCUUUUGUUUACGGCCAAGGCUUUCUGCACUCCUACCCUAAACCUCCCGAGCAGCAGGAAGGGUGAGGUUUCACUUCAUUACCCUGGGAAAUGUCUUUGGCUUGGACCUCCCUCCAAAAAAGCCCUCUCUGAUUCUGUGGGCCGAGCCUGUUGCUGUGCCUAAAGAGGCUCCAGGGAAGCAACGUUUGCUGCCACUGCUUCCUUUUCACUGCGCUGCUGUGAAAAGGAAUGGGCUGAUCUCAUCCCCUAUGGCGUUGGCGGCUGAGGAUUUAUAUCCCCUUCACACCGACGUGGUCCUCACAAAAGGGGCUGUGCUCAUCUUGGCGUUGCAUCUCCACAUAUCUCACUGCUAUCUUUUGAGCGUUGAUAAAUGGAUAGCAUUGCUUCUUGUACUCUUGUGGAAUGCAUUACGUGGUGAGAAGAAGUACGACUUGCAGCAACAAUCUCGCUCCAGAGACUCACUAACUAGAGAGCAGCUUCCCUGAGCUCCCACACGGGUGCAUCUGUGCAUGCAGAUAUUACAGCUUUCCAGUGAAGGUGGCAUUUCUGAUCCUUGCUCCUAUUUAUCUCAGUGGCCAAGCCCAAUAACUCCAGCAAGAACAAGGUCGGUCCUCUGGGAUAUUCCAGAGGUGAAGCAAACAGAAGUGCAAACUUAUGUUAGUUAUAACUGCCAAACUUUCAUAAAUUCCUUCCUGACAAAACUGAUAUGCCACGAGGAUCCCUUGAUCACUACACCUAGAUGAACAGACUGCUUGAUUGAUAGCACCCCAGCAGGAAUGUUAUGGCAUUGGAAAAAAAAAAUGGGUUAUCCUUUUCAAUUACUGUUGCUGUUUCACAAGAUUUUUAAUUCUAGUUUUUAUUCUGCAUUUAAAACUCUCUGGGAUAGAGCAAUGGGGAGAAAUUGCAUUGUUUUUACUGCUAAACAUCACUGCUUUCUUGGGAAUAGCUGGGGAGCACUGCAGCUAAAUCUGUUUGAAUUCUCCCUUAUUUUU